rnacentral:rRNA from 1 species
CAGCCGCCACGGUAAUACGUAGGUGGCAAGCGUCGUCCGGAAUUAUUGGGCGUAAAGGGCUCGCAGGCGGUUUCUUAAGUCUGAUGUGAAAGCCCCCGGCUCAACCGGGGAGGGUCAUUGGAAACUGGGAAACUUGAGUGCAGAAGAGGAGAGUGGAAUUCCACGUGUAGCGGUGAAAUGCGUAGAGAUGUGGAGGAACACCAGUGGCGAAGGCGACUCUCUGGUCUGUAACUGACGCUGAGGAGCGAAAGCGUGGGGAGCGAACAGGAUUAGAUACCCCCGUAGUCCCUGUCUCUUAUAC